UGCAGCGCUGUCGAAACCGAU
rnacentral:miRNA from 1 species